rnacentral:rRNA from 1 species
GACAGAGGCCUCGAGCGUUAGGCGGAAUCACUGGGCUUAAAGCGUGUGUAGGCGGAAUUGUAAGUACCUUGUGAAAUCCCACGGCUCAACCGUGGAACUGCUCGGUAUACUGCUUUUCUUGAGCCACUUAGGGGCUGUCGGAACAAACGGUGGAGCGGUGAAAUGCGUAGAUAUCGUUUGGAACGCCAAAGGUGAAAACAGGCGACUGGUUUGCAACUGACGCUCAUGGACGAAAGCGUGGGGAUCAAACGGG